UUUGUUAAUGGAAUAGCGGCGCCGAUUUUGACAAUUGUAGCACCAGAUAGCAGCUCCAGAUAGCAGCUCCAGAUUGAUCACGCCACUUGUGUCUUUGCUGUCGAACAACGUCGCAAUGUCUCCACAACCAACUGUUGCAUGGAUAGGGUAGCCUGCGCAUUAGAAUUGUUGCUGCAUCGAUGUGUACUCGAUCUGUGGUACGACAUCCACAUGCUUUUCGUGUGGAACUAGUGAUUUCCUCUUCUUGACGCCCUAGCAACUAGUUGUUACUCAAUAAGGUAGUACAUAAACUUCCGCAGGUUUGUUUCAUGCGUUACAUUCGAUUGUGCUUGGAAAGCCGAGCAUGGAGACGAACCCGCGGUCUAUCCUUUACAUGUUUCGCAGUUUGUUGGAUGAGUUAGCGGACAUGGUGUUCACGGUGCGCCGUGAGGUUGCAGAUUGGAGUCAUAGUUUCCCGCCCAUGUCGUAUGGAACCGCUGUCGUCGUUGGAUUUGUGCUACUUCUACUACUACUCGUUUUUGGCUAUUCAAGAAGAGUUGGAAAGAAGAAAACAUUGCCACCAGGUCCCUUCGCGUUUCCAGUGAUUGGCAACCUCUUCUUAGUGGGGAAGCACCCGCACGUAACGUUCGCUAAACUGGCGAAACAGUAUGGGAACAUCAUGAGGCUUCACUUUGGAGCCGUUCCUGUCGUCAUAGUGUCCGAUGCAAACAUGGCCAGAGAGCUGUUUUCUGUGCAGGACAUGAAAUUUGCAUCCCGACCGAUUUAUGACCUUAUGAGUACGGCUUACAAGUACAUGAAUUAUGGUACCGAUGAAGAGGUAUCACUGGCAAUCAGUGAGUAUGGUCCUAAAGUGCGCGACUUGCGUCAAUUGUGCACAACGGAGUUAUUUACACAGCGGAAAAUUGACAUGAAAAAAAGCGUACGAGCGGAGGAGAUUCAGCGGAUGUUUGGGAAAAUUAAAACGAUGAUAAGAGACGAAGAGCCCGUGGAGAUUCGCCCAAUUGUCAGUGAGUUUAGCUUGCGCAUCAGCUGUCGGACAACCUUCAAUAAAGCCUUUCUGAAUUUUGAGAAUCUUCCCUGGAGACCUGGGGCCCUGCAUCCCCAGGCGUUCAGGAAUAUGGAAACAGAAAAUACGAAGCUCCUUGGGGAGCACCAAAUCUUAGACAUGAUCCCAAUGCUAAAGUUCGUUUUAGAAAGAUUUGAUGUUUUUGGCAUCAAUGCAAGAUGGAAGGAAGUGAGCGCUCUCAAAGAAGAGUGUACUAGGCCGGUUAUAGAAUGGUACCGAAAACAUUCAUCAGAUGAUGAAUCGACACUUGACUUCGUGGAGGUUUUGCUUCGUCUUAGUGAAGAGGGGAAGUUAUCGAAGACCUGCGUUAAGUCGUUAAUUCUUGAACUGUUGACAGCUGGAUCAGAUACGAUUGCUUCCGUUUUGGAGUGGACGCUUUUGGAACUUGUUCGCCAUCCGCAUUGCAUGGAAAGAUUGAGUGCCGAGAUUGAUGGAUUUUUUGGCACUAAUCGACCAGUAGAUGAAGAUGAGUUAACUAAAUUACCGUACCUUCAGGCUGUGGCGAAGGAAGUUCUGCGCCUGCACAAUCCUACCACUCUUGGUAUCCCUCACUCCAAUAUGGAAGAAGCGACACUGGCAGGGUACCACCUCCCUGCGCGGACAACAGUACUUGCAAAUUUUUGGGCAAUUAGCCGAGAUCCUACUACUUGGGGACAGGAUGCAUUAACGUUCAAUCCAGACAGGUUCCUUGCCUGCGAUUUGAACGUGAAUGGUACAAAUUACGAGUAUCUGCCGUUUGGAGCUGGAAGGAGGAUUUGUCCUGGACGCGCGGUGGCUAUGAGGGUCUUGGCUGCGGCUAUCGGCUCUUUCGUUCAUGCAUUUGAAUGGUCAGCCUUGCCGGGAGUUGAGCUCAAUGCCAAUGAAGGCAAGGAUGGGCUCAACAUUCGACCAGAAACUCCAUUGGUACUUAAAUUAAGCCCAAGGCCUUCAGCCAUGCUUUACUAAGCCCUCACUACUACCACCGCUUAUUUUCCUAGCCUUCGAAUUCAUGCUCAAUAUGGCUCGUCGUAGAACACACAAAUACAAGAAGGGUGCCAAUGUGUUCACAGCUUGAUCCAACGGGCUUGAAUCAGAAUCCUAAUAUCGUAUAUGAACUGUACAGCAUGCAUAAUUGAUAUGUUAAGCCAGGCUUUCUGUUGUGAUUGUUGCUGAUGCAACUACGACGUCCGUAUGUGAGGGAUCCACGGCGAUUAUGAUUGGUGAAAUUGGCUAGCCGCAAUGUUAAAGACGGCAUGAUCUCAUUGUUCCAAAGAGACACGCAAUACGCAAACAGGCUGGAGAUUCUUGAGGGUGUCGGUAUGGUAUAUCGAAUGUGUCAAGAUUGCUGGAGACUAAUUUGUAAGAUCUUUAGAGGCGGCUGAUUGGAAUCAGAUCGGUGUUGCAAUGGAUGUGCAAGUCAGCCCUAAACAAUGAACUCGUGAGCGUGUUGCUUUUCAUAGCUGUGUCCAGAGCGAUAAUAUGUAAAAAGAAAAUAAAUUAGGGUUUAUAAUCCCACGAUCUUCUGGUAGGGGUUUUGAUGUUGCCUCUUGACCUUCGGAACCCGGUUGCACUCAGCGACGCCACAACGAAGGUUAAUCUCUUUCCAGGGCAGGUUCUGAGUGUGGCGUUGAAGUACGGCUUGUGCGUACCUGCAUUUGAUUCUUUAAACGAUACUUCUGGAGAGGGAGAAGAGUUUCCCCUAAUAAAAGCUGUAAAAAUUA